rnacentral:rRNA from 1 species
UUUAUGGAGAGUUUGAUCCUGGCUCAGGAUGAACGCUGGCGGCGUGCCUAAUACAUGCAAGUCGAGCGAACGGACGAGAAGCUUGCUUCUCUGAUGUUAGCGGCGGACGGGUGAGUAACACGUGGAUAACCUACCUAUAAGACUGGGAUAACUUCGGGAAACCGGAGCUAAUACCGGAUAAUAUUUUGAACCGCAUGGUUCAAAAGUGAAAGACGGUCUUGCUGUCACUUAUAGAUGGAUCCGCGCUGCAUUAGCUAGUUGGUAAGGUAACGGCUUACCAAGGCAACGAUGCAUAGCCGACCUGAGAGGGUGAUCGGCCACACUGGAACUGAGACACGGUCCAGACUCCUACGGGAGGCAGCAGUAGGGAAUCUUCCGCAAUGGGCGAAAGCCUGACGGAGCAACGCCGCGUGAGUGAUGAAGGUCUUCGGAUCGUAAAACUCUGUUAUUAGGGAAGAACAUAUGUGUAAGUAACUGUGCACAUCUUGACGGUACCUAAUCAGAAAGCCACGGCUAACUACGUGCCAGCAGCCGC